CCCUAGUACGGCGAGUGAAGAGGGAAGAGCCCAAGAUUGAAAGCUGGCGUCUUCGGCGUCCGCAUUGUAAUCUCAAGAAGUGUUUUCCGCUUCGGACCAUGCCUAAGUCCCUUGGAAAAGGGCAUCAUAGAGGGUGAUAAUCCCGUUCAUGGCAUGGAGCGCCCGAAGCUUUGUGAUACGCUUUCUAAGAGUCGAGUUGUUUGGGAAUGCAGCUCAAAAUGGGUGGUAAAUGCCAUCUAAGGCUAAAUAUUGGGGAGAGACCGAUAGCGAACAAGUACAGUGAUGGAAAGAUGAAAAGAACUUUGAAAAGAGAGUUAAACAGUACGUGAAAUUGCCAAAAGGGAAGGGUAGGAGGUCAGAGAUGCGUCUUGGAAUUCAGCCUUGCUUCUGCUUGGUGUUUUUUCCAAGUUGCAGGCCAACGUCGGUUUUGGGCACUGGAGAAGGGUGGAAGGAAUGUGGCACCUCUCGGGGUGUGUUAUAGCCUUCUACUGGAUACAGCGACCGAGACCGAGGACAGCAGCGUACUCGUAAGAGCGGGCCUUCGGGCACCUUUACGCUUAGGGCGUUGGCAUAAUGGCCCUCUACCACCCG
rnacentral:rRNA from 1 species